rfam:Daphnia pulex DAPPTscaffold_49_Cont2673, whole genome shotgun sequence.
GCCGGGUAUGUGGCGCGUACCUGUAAUCCUGCUUCUGGGAGGCUUGGUGUAGUGGAUGGCUUGAGGCUUGGAAUCCUGCUGGAUCGUCGCUUGCGUUGAACAGGUGUCCGCACUAAGCUUUGCAUCAACAUGGAUCGGUUGGAAGAAUCCGACAGAUCCAGAUUAUCUAAGGAGGAGCGAAUCGGGCCAGGAGGGAAACCGAGCAGCCAAAAGUUCCCGUGUCGGGCAGUAGUGGGAUCGCGCCCGUGAGUAGGCGCCUUUCAGUAGCCCAGCCAAUAAAGUCACACCUACAUCUUU